AUAAAGUGUCGGUCACUUUGUCACUGAACGUCGCGUGGUACAAUAGGCCAGUGAAGGUUCUAUUCAUCCCGCCCCAAUCUGAGGUGACGGGAAAGGGCUGGGAAAUUUCCACUUCGGAUUAAAAUAAGGGCUGAAUUGACAACCUCAAAAGUUAAUAAGCGGAGCAGACCUAACCCUGCACUUGCCGAGGCUUGUUCCUCAAGCAUGCAAGUGACGCCGAGGUAACGCAGCACCACCUGUCGCUCUCCGCCGAGCGCCGAGGCUACGGCUGGAAAAUCGCUGUACCAGGAUUGGAGGAAAGAAGCCAUCAGUCUCAGCGAGGCCCCACCUUCCUGCCAUUGCCUGGUUGGAGGACCACGGCGUCAGUCACUGGGCCAGUCGCCACCUCUGAGACAGGCCCUUCCUGUAAAACCUGGCUGGGGUGAGGCUCCCAGGUGUGAUGACAGCUUGGAGUUGCCCCAUAAGUGGGGCUGAGGCGGAUGUGGAGGCAAAAACAUGGGCUUAUGAAACUCAGGUGAUACGAGAGCCCUGAUACGGAGCAGAUGCGGCUCAAAGAACCAGGCCCGGAGCAGAGCUCAGCAGUCACAAGGCAUUGGGCGCCUGCGGAAAGGUAGGAACUGGUCCCUGCCACCUGCCGGUCGGCAGCCCUACCCACAGUCAGAACGCGGCCGCCCUGGCCUGGUCCCAAAAAAUGUGAGCGGCGGGUUCUCCCG